UACGGAGGAUGCAAGCGUUAUCCGGAAUGAUUGGGCGUAAAGCGUCCGCAGGUGGCUGUGUAAGUCUGCUGUUAAAGAGUGAGGCUCAACCUCAUAAAAGCAGUGGAAACUACAUGGCUAGAGUGCGUUCGGGGCAGAGGGAAUUCCUGGUGUAGCGGUGAAAUGCGUAGAGAUCAGGAAGAACACCGGUGGCGAAAGCGCUCUGCUAGGCCGCAACUGACACUGAGGGACGAAAGCUAGGGGAGCGAAUGGG
rnacentral:rRNA from 1 species